GGUAGCUUGCUACCUAACCUAGCGGCGGACGGGUGAGUAAUGCUUAGGAAUCUGCCUAUUAGUGGGGGACAACAUUUCGAAAGGGAUGCUAAUACCGCAUACGCCCUAAGGGGGAAAGCAGGGGAUCUUCGGACCUUGCGCUAAUAGAUGAGCCUAAGUCGGAUUAGCUAGUUGGUGGGGUAAAGGCCUACCAAGGCGACGAUCUGUAGCGGGUCUGAGAGGAUGAUCCGCCACACUGGGACUGAGACACGGCCCAGACUCCUACGGGAGGCAGCAGUGGGGAAUAUUGGACAAUGGGGGGAACCCUGAUCCAGCCAUGCCGCGUGUGUGAAGAAGGCCUUUUGGUUGUAAAGCACUUUAAGCGAGGAGGAGGCUACCGAGAUUAAUACUCUUGGAUAGUGGACGUUACUCGCAGAAUAAGCACCGGCUAACUCUGUGCCAGCAGCCGCGGUAAUACAGAGGGUGCGAGCGUUAAUCGGAUUUACUGGGCGUAAAGCGUGCGUAGGCGGCUUUUUAAGUCGGAUGUGAAAUCCCCGAGCUUAACUUGGGAAUUGCAUUCGAUACUGGGAAGCUAGAGUAUGGGAGAGGAUGGUAGAAUUCCAGGUGUAGCGGUGAAAUGCGUAGAGAUCUGGAGGAAUACCGAUGGCGAAGGCAGCCAUCUGGCCUAAUACUGACGCUGAGGUACGAAAGCAUGGGGAGCAAACAGGAUUAGAUACCCUGGUAGUCCAUGCCGUAAACGAUGUCUACUAGCCGUUGGGGCCUUUGAGGCUUUAGUGGCGCAGCUAACGCGAUAAGUAGA
rnacentral:rRNA from 1 species